rfam:Schistosoma rodhaini strain Burundi genome assembly, scaffold: SROB_scaffold0017565
AUCCAGCUGACGAUUCCCAAAUAGGACGAACCCGCGUCCUGGAU